rnacentral:lncRNA from 1 species
UAGAAUGCUUUCUUCUCUCUUCUAAGUUUUGAGAGAUGAAGAAGGAGGACUCCUCUAUAUAUAGAGGUCUUGGAGCUUUGGAUACUUGUCACGGGCUUUGGAUGCUUUGCUUAGUGGAGUAGAAAUGAUUCCACUUGUCCUUGGAGUCUUGUGGAGAUGCUUCACUUGCUUUGGAGUCUUUUGAUAAUGCCAACUGUCUUUUGAGAAAGUUGUCGGCCAUGCUUUGAAGGAAUCUUUUGCUUUUUU